UUUAGACGAGAGUUUGAUCCUGGCUCAGGAUGAACGCUGGCGGCGUGCCUAACACAUGCAAGUCGAGCGAAGC
rnacentral:rRNA from 1 species